rnacentral:rRNA from 1 species
UACGUAGGGGGCAAGCGUUGUCCGGAAUUAUUGGGCGUAAAGGGCUCGUAGGCGGUUUGUCGCGUCGGGAGUGAAAACUCAGGGCUCAACCCUGAGCGUGCUUCCGAUACGGGCAGACUAGAGGUAUGCAGGGGAGAACGGAAUUCCUGGUGUAGCGGUGGAAUGCGCAGAUAUCAGGAGGAACACCGGUGGCGAAGGCGGUUCUCUGGGCAUGACCUGACGCUGAGGAGCGAAAGCAUGGGGAGCGAACAGG